AGCGGAUGAGUUGUGGGUAGCGGAGAAAUUCCAAUCGAACCUGGAGAUAGCUGGUUCUCUCCGAAAUAGCUUUAGGGCUAGCCUCAAGUGAUGAUUAUUGGAGGUAGAGCACUGUUUGGACGAGGGGCCCUUCUCGGGUUACCGAAUUCAGACAAACUCCGAAUGCCAAUCAAUUUAACUUGGGAGUCAGAACGCGGGUGAUAAGGUCCGUGUUCGAAAGGGAAACAGCCCAGACCACCAG
rnacentral:rRNA from 1 species